UACGAAGGGGGCAAGCGUUGUUCGGAAUUACUGGGCGUAAAGAGCGUGUAGGCGGCCAGACAGGUCAGCUGUGAAAACUCGAGGCUCAACCUCGAGAUGUCGGCUGAAACCAUCUGGCUAGAGUCCGGAAGAGGAGAAUGGAAUUCCCGGUGUAGCGGUGAAAUGCGUAGAGAUUGGGAGGAACACCAGUGGCGAAGGCGACUUUCUGGACUGUAACUGACGCUGAGGCAUGAAAGCGUGGGGAGCAAACAGG
rnacentral:rRNA from 1 species